GAGGAAGAGAACUGCUCUGCUCCAGUAGGAGACCCACAACUCUGAUGAGAGAAAGUUACAGUGGAUCUUGAUUUUGGAGGAGGUGAAGUCCAAUCUAAAAGGUCCCAUAAAGAGAAGAUCCUGGAGCAAACAGGAAGUACAUGCUGUGGUGAAAGCUGAACCAUUGGCUCUAAAAACCAGAGAUCAGCUUUGGAUUUUUAUAUUAAAAACUGAAUCUCGGCUCUUUAGAUAAAAAAUCUGAAUAACACUUUUAUAGUAAGUAUACACUAUACAUCAUUAGUUUAGCACUAACUCUACAUUAAUAGACUUUAGGAAGCAGUUUAUAAAUACAGCUUCAAACGCUGUAUUCUUGACUUGACUUAAUUGUAUUUUCAUGCUUUGUUACUG